rnacentral:rRNA from 1 species
UACGUAGGGGGCAAGCGUUGUCCGGAAUCAUUGGGCGUAAAGAGCGUGUAGGCGGCCCGGUAAGUCCGCUGUGAAAGUCCAGGGCUCAACCCUGGGAUGCCGGUGGAUACUGUCGGGCUCGAGUCCGGAAGAGGAGUGUGGAAUUCCUGGUGUAGCGGUGAAAUGCGCAGAUAUCAGGAGGAACACCAAUGGCGAAGGCAGCACUCUGGGACGGUACUGACGCUGAGACGCAAAAGCGUGGGGAGCGAACAGG